CUUGUCAAUGAUGAUUUUUAUCACUAUUAUUCGAGUUUAAAUGACCAUGAGAAUACCUUACAUGCACUACCAUCUGAGACAUC
ensembl:snoRNA SNORD33 Small nucleolar RNA Z195/SNORD33/SNORD32 family